AACUGAGGUCCUUUUCCUGAACAGGGACUAUAUUUAUGUAUGGUUUUUUUGUUUUUGUUUUUACUAAUACUUAUUGGUGUUUAUAUAGUUGCCCAGAGUGGCUGGGGAGGCCCAACCAGAUGGGUGGGGUAUAAGUAAUAAAUGAUUAUGAUUGGAGGAUGGAAGCUGGUCACAGCAGGAGGGGGUGACACCCUGGCUUCUUCACCAGCCUGGCUCAUCUCAGCCUCUCAGCCUCCUUCCUCUUCUGCUUCUGGAUUUCUCUCUGCCACAGACUCUCCCAGCUCACUAAACCACUUCACAGCUUCUUCCCAAUCUUCUCCCUCUUCUCCCUUUGACCACUCAUUGUCGUCCAACCACCAAUCCCUAGACUCUGAACAGCUGGUUUCCCCAGCUGUUGCCUCCCACUACUUCUCUGCAUCCAGCCAGUCCAUGACAUCAACUUUAGUGUUUUCUUUGCGUUCCGUUUCCACAGGCUUCAGCCAAAGUCAGUCUUCAAAUGGUUGGAGGAGGGGCCUUUCACUAGAUAGAAGCAACAGUAAUCAAACACUUCCAGAUAUGUGCACACAGGUGAGCAGGUGUGAUUUUGCCUUGGCUAGACAUUGCCCUUUGACUGUAUCUUUAAUGGGUUUGAAGUCAUUGCCAUAAACAUUGACCUUAAAGCAAUCCUGCAUUUCACACUUUCAGCAGAGUGGAGCUGCCAUUUGGAAUUAGCAACACUCGAUCUGUACUCCAGCCUUGGGCAGCAUCAUGUCUUGAUUUAUGAAGGUGAGCCAUGACUGCUUUAUAUGUGAGAAGUCCAGCUCCAUCUCUGAGGGCUCCAGCAGCAAAUUAGAACAACAGGGUGUUACUAGCGUCCUUCUUCAUAGCUCUAGGAAGGAAAUUGUAAAAAAACAUAAAAAACUGACAAUCUCAAAGUUCACCACAAAUGUCUCUCUUAUUGGAUGGUUUGAUCAGGUCUGGAAGAUGGCCCUGGCUGAAGAAUUAAUGGAUCAAAUAAGGUUGCAAAGGAGUUCAAUUAAAGCAGAUUUAUUUGUAGAAGCCAAGCACACAUUCUCAGUGGCAGAGGAACCCUCUCCACCACCCAGGGCGGGACGCCGAGGGAUGGGGCGAACCGCCUGGUGAUGCAUGUGCAACUUCCAUACAGACUGUGUACGUGCAACAUCCAUAUGGACUGCGCACAUGCGGCAGCCCGUACGGUCACUGUGUGAGCGGCAGCCCAUAUGGAUGCUGUGUGGACGCAGUGCGACUGGCGCCCACACUGACUGCGUGCACGUCCUCCGCCACUCUGCAGCUGAGGAGAGGCAGCGGGCCAUCUUUUCACACACACCCCAGGGCGGUGCCCGGGGCAACCUGCCCCCCCCGCCCCCUGCACAUUCUUAGAGUAUAUGGUUCACUAAUCCAUAUGGCCCUUCUGCUUCACCAGUGCGGUUUGGGAAAUCUUAAGGAUAGUCUAAAUUUAUAAGAUUGGGAUAACUGUAAUAAAUGUGAAACGUUGUGUUGUGACCCAUGUGUAGUAACAGAUUUUAUUCUCCCAUGAGGAUAAAAUCUGUCAAAUCAUGCCAUGGUCAGUGGAUUACCAUAUACUUAUGCAUGCUUAUAGACAAACUGGGGUAAUGUUUAGAGUUGUGUGUGUGUGUGUGUGUGUGUGUGUGUGUUUUGCCUUUUUUGUUGCUGUUCCUUUUUAACCGUUCAUCAAAAUGGGCUGUGCUAUAGUAUCAGGAACAUAUUGCAUCUCACCUUGAUAAGAAGCCCAUUCCAAACUAACUGAAGAUUCCAAACAGUCUUCAAAGGCGGUCACACAUAAAGCAUGCUACAAAAAUCAGUCAAUGAGUGAUUUUUUAAAAAAUGGACUGCUGCAGUCAGAUUGAAAGGUUCCAGAAGAUUGUUGAACCAGUCUUAAUUUCACAAAGAUGCUCCUGGUUACAGCUGACGCCUGAAAACACAGGUCUAAGGGUAGAUCCAAGAUUGUGUUUUGUUCUGUUUUUAUCAUGUAUACUUCUUUGGCAGCUUUAUCUGCAUAGUAAUAAGGGUGUAAACCAAGUUGUGCAGACAGGGAUAGUGCUGUGGCUUGAGAGAAUGUGGGUUCUAUUUGACAAAGGCAACAGCUGAGAACACACUUAAGAAGCAGACAAAUCAAAACAGUGGCACAGAACCACACUGGCAUCAGUCUGUCGUCAGCAUCAUCCAUCCAAGCACAUUUCAAUUUAUUUUGCUAUUACUAUUACUUAUAACCUGCCUUUCGGAAUAGGAACAUAUGUGUUAUAAGGAGUCAGAUCACUGGGUCAUCUAGCUGGGUAAGGUAAAGGUAAAGGACCCCCAGAUUGUUAAGUCUAGUCGAAUUCGACUAUGAGGUGCGGUCCUCAUCUCCGCUUUCAGGUUCAGCGAGCCAGCGUUUGUCCACAGACAGAUUUUCUGGGUCAUGUGGCCAGCAUGACUAAGCCACUUCCGGUGCAACAGGACACCGUGACGAGUGCCAGAGCGCAUGGAAAUGCCAUUUACCUUCCCACCUCAGCGGUACCUAUUUAUCUACUUGCACUGGUAUGAUUUUGAACUGCUAGGUUGGCAGGAGCUGGGACAGAGCGACGGGAGCUCACCCCGUUGUGCAGAUUAUGAUCAGCACUCUCUGCACUGUCAGACAGUGGUCUUUCCUAGCUUAAGUUGGAGAUGCUGGAAGUUGAACCUGCAGCUUUUGGCAUGCGAAGCAGAGCAAUAGCCCUUCCCCUACAUACAGUGGUGCCCCGCAAGACGAAUGCCUCGCAAGACGAAAAACUCGCUAGACGAAAGAGUUUUCUGUUUUUUGAGUCGUUCUGCAAGAAGAAUUUCCCUAUGGGCUUGCUUCGCAAGACGAAACGUCUUGCGAGUUCUUGCGAGUUUGUUUCCUUUUUCUUAAAGCCACUAAGCCGUUAAUAGCCGCUAAGCCGCUAAGCCGUUAAUAGCCGCUAAGCCGCUAAGCCGCUAAUAGCCGCUAAGCCGCUAAUAGCCGUGCUUCGCAAGAUGAAAAAACCGCAAGACGAAGAGACUUGCGGAACGGAUUAAUUUCGUCUUGUGAGGCACCACUGUACAAAUUUUUACAAGGCACCUUAUGAGAAACAUUAGAAUUCUUUUAAAGUCACAGCAAACAAUGUCAACAAAUAAAGUCAUCAGGAUAUGGCUGCUGAACUUGGAGACACCAUUGUAGGGCUAGGAACUACUUCUUGUUUUCUCUCAGGUUUUGCUGGCAGGAAACGCUAUGGCGGGAGCCACGCCUCAAAUCUGUUUGCUUUUCAGCUCAACUUUUUUUGUUUAGAACCAGUAGAACUCUUCUCACUUUGGAACAUGGCUCGGGAGCAAUCUGGAAAACACUCAGACUCAGCACAUAUGUACAUAUCCGCCGGGGGCCAGGAAACAAUUUCACACUUAGCGCC